CAAGAAUCCUGUAUAUAAUUAGCUAACUAGAUUGGGAAGUGACCCCCUGCCAACAGUUGUCUGGACUCUGAAUUUAUUGACCUUGUUACUCUUGUUGUUUCCAACAUGGAAGGGGAAUAAACUGGACUGAAGGACCUUUGGUGAUCUCGCUCCUUUGCUCCUUGGACCUGGAAUUAAUCUAAAAGUCCAAGAAAGCAUCUGGUUCUGCAAAGAUACAGAAGCCAACAGUUGCCCGUCACUGCUCCUAAUCGUGUUUGCCAGUUCCAGGUGGUGUGAACUUCUCCUGGGACCAUCUGUCCCUCCCAGCAGCUCCAGAGCCACACUGCCUUGGAAGACCCGACAGACAGAUUGCUCCACCUUGACUCUUCUUUCCACAGUGUCUUCAGCAUCUCUGUUCCUCCCAUUCCCACUCCAUUUCUUCUAUCUCUCCCCAUGCAAGAGUGGAUCAGCUGCCUCCUGGGCCAGUAGGGUCCUUUGCAGGUGGCCAACCAAGAGAAAGAGGAAGUGGCUCUUGGAAUCACAGACCCAGGCUGGGAAGAGUUUGUGUGAUGCAGUGGCCACCCCCUAAGAGCUGCAGUGAUCCUCUCUGAGCCCUUCAGAAAGCGCUAUGACCACAAAAAGAAGAAAGGACAGCAGGUCUACACCCUGGGUCUGGUUUUAAUCAGAGCACAUCUUUAUGAGACAACAUAAGGCUGAAGAGUUUUUUUAGCUGAUAGUUCCAAAGAAAAAUACUGUUAAAAAGUGAAACUAACCAAUGAACCUGAGAUGACAGAUGAGAAAAAGACCCACACUGCACACAGAGAAGUAGGAAAUUCCAGGGCGUUUCACAGGAGGCAGAUGAGUGGCUGGGCUACUCUCAGGAUGGUGGAAAUUCUGCUUUUGCUGAACAACUGAAAUUCAGUUUGGAGGAGUAAAGAGGAGAUGUAACAUGUCCACACCUAUGGAGUUAAGAUGUCUGUCUGUCCCAUGACCCAUCUGCC
rnacentral:lncRNA from 1 species